rnacentral:rRNA from 1 species
UAGCGGCGAGCGAACGGGGAGGAGCCCAGAGCCUGAAUCAGUGUGUGUGUUAGUGGAAGCGUCUGGAAAGGCGCGCGAUACAGGGUGACAGCCCCGUACACAAAAAUGCACAUGCUGUGAGCUCGAUGAGUAGGGCGGGACACGUGGUAUCCUGUCUGAAUAUGGGGGGACCAUCCUCCAAGGCUAAAUACUCCUGACUGACCGAUAGUGAACCAGUACCGUGAGGGAAAGGCGAAAAGAACCCCGGCGAGGGGAGUGAAAAAGAACCUGAAACCGUGUACGUACAAGCAGUGGGAGCACAGAGCAAUCUGUGUGACUGCGUACCUUUUGUAU